rnacentral:sRNA from 1 species
GUCGGGUGUGGUGGCACACACCUGUAAUCCUAGUGACUCAGGAGGCUGAGGCAGGAGGAUUACAAGCUCCAGGCUGGCCUCAGCAAUUUAGGGAAGAACUAAGCAACUUAGUGAGAUCCUGUCACAA